UACGUAGGGUGCGAGCGUUAAUCGGAGUUACUGGGCGUAAAGCGUGCGCAGGCGGUGAGCUGUGUCCGAUGUGAAAGCCCCGGGCUUAACCUGGGAAUGGCAUUGGAAACUGGCUCGCUGGAGUGUGGCAGAGGGGGGUGGAAUUCCGCGUGUAGCAGUGAAAUGCGUAGAGAUGCGGAGGAACACCGAUGGCGAAGGCAGCCCCCCUGGGCUAACACUGACGCUCAGGCACGAAAGCGUGGGGAGCAAACAGG
rnacentral:rRNA from 1 species